rnacentral:lncRNA from 1 species
UCUCUGUGAAGGAUCUAGAAUUAAUCCCUAAGAGCUGUGCCAGAUGACACAAUAACUUGAGGGAGGUAGAUGUCAUGCUCAGAAUCCUGUCUCUUGCCUGUCUCUGAGGCGUGGCUCCCAGCCACGUUUAUUUGUUUGUUUUCCUACCUUUGGGCCUCAUCCAAUUAGACCCCAGGCCGUCCUACCCACCUCAGAGCUCUGAUGUCAGCAGUUCUUUAAGCACAACAAAGCAACUAUAAAUCUUCAGGUGACCUCUGCGCCCAUUCAUGAGUGAAGUUCCUCUCCUGCUCCUUUCUGAUUCGACAGGAAGAAUACUUUCUAAAGGACAACUUCAGCCUUUGUUUCUUCAUAAAGGCAGCAAAAGACGCUAUAUGAAAUGUGCCAGAAAAUAAAGGACUGAGGACAUGCCACUUGGAUGGCACUGGAGUUGGCCUGUUUUCCAGAGUCACUGAGACGGGAACCAGCCUAAGGAGACAAGGCCAUCUGCAAGGCCCCAGGUCUAACAAGAUAAGACCCUAACAAGAUUGGCUGUAACCAAUUGGCAGGCUGGAGA